rnacentral:rRNA from 1 species
AAUAGAUACCCCGGUAGUCCUAGCCGUAAACGAUACUCGCUAGGUGUCGGCCACGGUGCGACCGCUGUCGGUGCCGUAGGGAAGCCGUGAAGCGAGCCACCUGGGAAGUACGGCCGCAAGGCUGAAACUUAAAGGAAUUGGCGGGGGAGCACCACAACGGGUGGAGCUUGCGGUUUAAUUGGAUUCAACGCCGGAAAUCUUACCGGGACCGACAGCAAUAUGAAGGCCAGGCUGAAGACUUUGCCGGAUUAGCUGAGAGGUGGUGCAUGGCCGUCGUCAGUUCGUACUGUGAAGCAUCCUGUUAAGUCAGGCAACGAGCGAGACCCACGCCCACAGUUGCCAGCGUACUCUCUGGAGUGACAGGUACACUGUGGAGACCGCCGCUGCUAAAGCGGAGGAAGGAAUGGGCAACGGUAGGUCAGUAUGCCCCGAAUAUCCCGGGCUACACGCGAGCUACAAUGGUUGGUACAAUGGGUAUCUACCCCGAAAGGGGACGGGAAUCUCCUAAAACCAAUCUUAGUUCGGAUUAAGGGCUGCAACUCGCCCUC